UUGCCUUAAAUUAAUGAGUAAGGAAAACAAACCAAGCAGUGGGAGCUGCUAGCAGCACUCAUUAUGAUGUACACGAAUUUUUGAAAGGGUUAUAGGCUGCCUU
rfam:Vigna angularis cultivar Jingnong 6 chromosome 2, whole genome shotgun sequence.